rnacentral:rRNA from 1 species
UACGUGGGGGUGCAAGCGUUAAUCGGAAUUACUGGGCGUAAAGCGUGCGCAGGCGGUUUUUGUAAGUCUGUCGUGAAAUCCCCGGGCUUAACCUGGGAAUUGCGAUGGAGGCUGCAAGGCUAGAAUCUGGCAGAGGGGGGUAGAAUUCCACGUGUAGCAGUGAAAUGCGUAGAGAUGUGGAGGAACACCGAUGGCGAAGGCAGCCCCCCUGGGUCAAGAUUGACGCUCAUGCACGAAAGCGUGGGGAGCAAACAGG